UGGCAGUUGGCAGUUAGUAGUGGAAAGAGAAGGAGUGGAUUUUUGGGUCUGAUGAAAAGCAGUAUCAAAAGAAGAUGCUUUAGACUAAAAGGAUUAUUAUUGUUGUUGUUGUUUACACAGUCAGACAGGUGCUUUUAAGCAAAACAAACCAAAAAGCUGUGGUCUUCAAUACCUCCAAAGUGAUCUUUGUGCUGCAUUGAGACAAUGAGUUGGUUGGAAGAACCUCAAGAUCCUCCUGUUCACUCAGGCUUUCAUCAAUUAGAAUUUUAAUAAUUUUAAAAACUUGUUUUAAUAAUUUUAUUAUAUUGUUUUUAUUGUUAUGUAUUUUAAUUUGUGACUUUUAAAUAUUUUAAAUUUUGUACACCGCCUAGAGAUAUGCAUAUCAGGUGGUAUAAAAACCUGAUUAAUAAUAAUAAAUAUGAUUAAUAGUAAUACUAGUUAGCCUUUGCAUAGGUUUGGAUGUCAAGUGCUUCACUUGUAUUAUCCUGUAGUCACUACAAUAAUCACUACAACUGGUUCUUUUCUGCCUGCAUUGCUUCCACAAAUUCAUAUUGUCUAGGGUUGUGAGGGGGCCAGUAUAAGCCCCCUCCCCCUUUAAUUUGAACUUGGAACCUUCAGUCACUUGCUGUAAUGUCUUCAAUUAUUUUUUUGCACAGAUAAAAUCUCUCAUGUUUGGGCCAAACUGGAUUCCACAGUUACUGCAGUCUACUGUUGGGGGUGUCUUCCUCUUACAGGAUCAGAUUGGAUCACUUUCAGUUUGUGACUCCUGAGGAUGUGGACAAACUGUUUCAGACUGUGUGUCCUACAACCUGUUCUCCUGACCCUUGCCCAACAUGGCUUAUUUUAUAUGGUAAUUGUAGU